UACAGAGGGGGCAAGCGUUAUUCGGAAUUAUUGGGCGUAAAGGGCGCGUAGGCGGCCUGGCAAGUGGAAGGUGAAAGUCCCUCGGCUUAACCGAGGAACUGCCUCCCAAACUGCUUGGCUUGAGACCGGGAGAGGUGAGUGGAAUUCCCAGUGUAGCGGUGAAAAUGCGCAGAUAUCAGGAGGAACACCGGUGGCGAAGGCGGUUCUCUGGGCAUGUCCUGACGCUGAGACGCGAAAGCGUGGGGAGCGAACAGG
rnacentral:rRNA from 1 species